AACGAACGCUGGCGGCGCGUCUUAAACAUGCAAGUCGAACGAUCUGUAGCAAUACAAGGAGUGGCGGACGGGUGAGGAACACGUAGGAAUCUACCUCAGAGAGCGGGACAACCUUGGGAAACCGGGGCUAAUACCGCAUAGUACAGAGAUGUUAAAGAGCUAGCAAUAGUCGCUUUGAGAUGAGCCUGCGGUCUAUCAGCUUGUUGGUGAGGUAAUGGCUCACCAAGGCGACGACGGAUAGCCGGUCUGAGAGGAUGAUCGGCCACACUGGCACUGAGACACGGGCCAGACUCCUACGGGAGGCAGCAGUUAAGAAUCUUGCGCAAUGGACGAAAGUCUGACGCAGCGACGCCGCGUGAAGGAUGAAGGCUUUCGGGUUGUAAACUUCGGUAGACUGGGAAGAAAAAGUACGUUCGUUGAGGGCGUGCAUUGACGGUACCAGUCUGAAGCCCCGGCUAAUUACGUGCCAGCAGCCGCAGUAAAAC
rnacentral:rRNA from 1 species